rnacentral:rRNA from 1 species
AUUGAACGCUGGCGGCAGGCCUAACACAUGCAAGUCGAACGGUAACAGGAAGAAGCUUGCUUCUUUGCUGACGAGUGGCGGACGGGUGAGUAAUGUCUGGGAAACUGCCUGAUGGAGGGGGAUAACUACUGGAAACGGUAGCUAAUACCGCAUAACGUCGCAAGACCAAAGAGGGGGACCUUCGGGCCUCUUGCCAUCGGAUGUGCCCAGAUGGGAUUAGCUUGUUGGUGGGGUAACGGCUCACCAAGGCGACGAUCCCUAGCUGGUCUGAGAGGAUGACCAGCCACACUGGAACUGAGACACGGUCCAGACUCCUACGGGAGGCAGCAGUGGGGAAUAUUGCACAAUGGGCGCAAGCCUGAUGCAGCCAUGCCGCGUGUAUGAAGAAGGCCUUCGGGUUGUAAAGUACUUUCAGCGGGGAGGAAGGGAGUAAAGUUAAUACCUUUGCUCAUUGACGUUACCUGCAGAAGAAGCACCGGCUAACUCCGUG